CAUAUAUGUCCACUUCUGAAAAAAAAAAAACCAAAGGCCUAUUCUCAGGUGAAAGUGAAAAUCAUUGAGCAAAGUGGGAACAAAUGGUGAGAGAAUUGAGAGAGGUGAAAAUUGUGGAUGCAAAUAUUGGUUUCUUUGAUGGUGUAUCCAAGGAGAAAAGUUCUGCAGCAGAUGAAGAACCUUAUGGAGCUGCAUGUGGUGCAGGAUGUGGUGCUGGUUGUGGUGCUGGAUGUGGUGCCUAGAGAUCGUGUUUUUCUGCUAUCAACUUCAUGCAUAGAUCUGAAAGAGUGAAUUCUAGUGGCUAUUGUAGUGUUAGUUUCUUAUAUAUUUCACAUUGCAGCUUGUUGCUAAGGCCUAUGAUUAUUAGAAUGGUAAGUGCUACCUGUUUUACUUCUUGCAAAUGUAAGCUCAGAAGUUCUGCAAUGGAUUUUGAAUAUGAACUUUGAUCUCAUAA